rnacentral:rRNA from 1 species
GACGAACGCUGGCGGCGUGCCUAAUACAUGCAAGUAGAACGCAGUUGCGAACGGGUGAGUAACGCGUAGGUACCUGCCUCAUAGCGUGGGAUCACUAUUGGGAACGAUAGCUAAUACAGCAUCCUGUGAGAUGGACCUCCGUUGUAUUGGCUAGUUGGUGAGGUAAAGGCUCACCAAGGCGACGAGACAUAGCAGACCUGAGAGGGUGAUCGGCCACACUGGGACUGAGACACGGCCCAGACUCCUACGGGAGGCAGCAGUAGGGAAUCUUCGGCAAUGGACGGAAGUCUGACCGAGCAACGCCGCGUGAGUGAAGAAGGUUUUCGGAUCGUAAAGCUCUUUUGUUAGAGAAGCGGAAACGAACCAGAAACAGACGGCUAACUACGUGCCAGCAGCCGCGUAAUAC